UACGUAGGGGGCAAGCGUUAUCCGGAUUUAUUGGGCGUAAAGAGCGUGUAGGCGGCCAGACAAGUCUGCUGUGAAAACUCGAGGCUCAACCUCGAGCUGUCGGUGGAAACUGUCUGGCUAGAGUCCGGAAGAGGAGAGUGGAAUUCCUGGUGUAGCGGUGAAAUGCGCAGAUAUCAGGAAGAACACCUAUGGCGAAGGCAGCUCUCUGGGACGGUACUGACGCUGAGACGCGAAAGCGUGGGGAGCGAACAGG
rnacentral:rRNA from 1 species